rnacentral:rRNA from 3 species
ACAACUUUCAGCGACGGAUAUCUUGGCUCGGGCACCAAUGAAGGGCGCAGCGAAACGCGAUAGUCGUUGUGAAUUGCAGAACUCCGUGAACCAAUAGCACCCUGAACUCGCAUUGCACUCUUGGGACACGCCUGAGAGUAUGUCUGCUUCAGUGCUUUUUC